GUCUAUGGCCAUACCACCUUGAACGCACCCGAUCUCAUCUGAUCUCGGGAGCUAAGCAAGGUCAGGCCUGAUUAGUACUUGGAUGGGAGAAAAAGGCACAUAGACA
rnacentral:rRNA from 1 species